GACGAACGCUGGCGGCGUGCUUAACACAUGCAAGUCGAACGGAAAGGCCCUGCUUUUGUGGGGUGCUCGAGUGGCGAACGGGUGAGUAACACGUGAGUAACCUGCACUUGACUUUGGGAUAACUUCAGGAAACUGGGGCUAAUACCGGAUAGGAGCUCCUGCUGCAUGGUGGGGGUUGGAAAGUUUCGGCGGUUGGGGAUGGACUCGCGGCUUAUCAGCUUGUUGGUGGGGUAGUGGCUUACCAAGGCUUUGACGGGUAGCCGGCCUGAGAGGGUGACCGGCCACAUUGGGACUGAGAUACGGCCCAGACUCCUACGGGAGGCAGCAGUGGGGAAUAUUGCACAAUGGGCGGAAGCCUGAUGCAGCAACGCCGCGUGCGGGAUGACGGCCUUCGGGUUGUAAACCGCUUUCGCCUGUGGCGAAGCGUGAGUGACGGUAAUGGGUAAAGAAGCACCGGCUAACUACGUG
rnacentral:rRNA from 1 species